rnacentral:misc_RNA from 1 species
UUGAAAUGUUCCUACCAGGUCAUUUCCGUGAGUUCUGCUAGGCAGGUCAUUGAUGCUUUGAAUGCGGAGGGACCUGAAAUCGAUAUUAUACUCUCGGAAGUUGAUCUGCCAAUGGCCAAAGGUAUGAAAAUGUUGAAGUAUAUCACCCGGGAUAAAGAGCUCCGACGCAUUCCUGUUAUCAUGAUGUCAACACAAGAUGAGGUCCCUAUUGUCGUUAAGUGCUUGAGGCUUGGAGCAGCUGACUAUCUUGUAAAGCCUUUACGGACAAAUGAGCUAUUAAACUUGUGGACGCACAUGUGGAGAAGAAGACGCAUG